UCCAUGUAUUUAUAUAUGGACAGUGGCAAACGGGGUAGUAACAGGUAGGAACAUACCAAUGAGUCAGGAAUAACUGCAGGAAACUGUAGCUAAUACCUGAUAGUCUCUACGGAGUAAAGAUUUAUCGCUCAUUGAAUGGCCUGCUUAGUAUCAGCUUGUUGGUAGUGUAAUGGACUACCAAGGCUAUGACGCUUAGGGGAGGUGAGAGCCUGACCCCCACCAUUGGAACUGCGACACGGUCCAAACUCC
rnacentral:rRNA from 1 species